rnacentral:rRNA from 1 species
GACGAACCGUCCUAACGUUGUUCGGAAUCACUGGGCUUAAAGGGCGCGUAGGCGGCCCCGUCAGUCGGGGGUGAAAUCCCACGGCCCAACCGUGGAAGUGCCUCCGAUACUGCGGGGCUCGAGGGGGGUAGGGGCAGCGGGAACUUCCGGUGGAGCGGUGAAAUGCGUUGAUAUCGGAAGGAACGCCGGCGGCGAAAGCGCGCUGCUGGACCCUCUCUGACGCUGAGGCGCGAAAGCCAGGGGAGCAAACGGG